CCUCCCUGUGUGUCUGUCUCUGCCCUCCCUGUCUCUCUCUCUGUCCUCCCUGUCUGUCUCUCUCUCUGUCCUCCCUGUCUGUGUCUGUCUCUCUGUCCUCCCUGUGUGUCUGUCUCUGCCCUCCCUGUGUGUCUGUCUCUGCCCUCCCUGUGUGUCUGUCUCUGCCCUCCCUGUGUGUCUGUCUCUGCCCUCCCUGUCUCUCUCUCUGUCCUCCCUGUCUGUGUCUGUCUCUCUGCCCUCCCUGUGUGUCUGUCUCUGCCCUCCC